rnacentral:rRNA from 1 species
CAAUAGCGUAUAUUAAAGUUGUUGCAGUUAAAAGCUCGUAGUUGGAUUUCGGGAUGGGCCAGUCGGUCUGCCGUGAGGUAAGUUACUGGCUGGUCUGUUCUUCCUCGCAAAGAAUGCGUGUGCUCUUCACUGAGUGGGCGUAGGAUUUGCGACGUUUACUUUGAAAAAAUUAGAGUGUUCAAAGCAGGCUUACCGCUUGAAUACAUGAGCAUGGAAUAAUGGAAUAGGACUUUGGUCUUAUUUUGUUGGUUUCUAAGACUGAGGUAAUGAUUAAGAGGGACAGUUGGGGGCAUUCGUAUUUCGUUGUCAGAGGUGAAAUUCUUGGAUUUACGAAAGACGAACAACUGCGAAAGCAUUUGCCAAGAAUGUUUUCAUUAAUCAAGAACGAAAGUUAGAGGCUCGAAGACGAUUAGAUACCA